rnacentral:tRNA from 1 species
AUUGGUAGUUCUAUGAUGGAAUGCUUGUCUUCCACGCAAGAGACCCAGGUUCGAUUCCUGGCCAAU